rnacentral:rRNA from 1 species
AAACUUUUAACAACGGAUCUCUUGGCUCUCGCAACGAUGAAGAACGCAGCGAAAUGCGAUAAGUAAUGUGAAUUGCAGAAUUCAGUGAAUCAUCGAAUCUUUGAACGCACCUUGCGCCCUUUGGUAUUCCGAAGGGCACACCUGUUUGAGUGUCAUUA